GCAACGCCGCGUGAGGGACGACGGCCUUCGGGUUGUAAACCUCUUUUAGUAGGGAAGAAGCGAAAGUGACGGUACCUGCAGAAAAAGCACCGGCUAACUACGUGCCAGCAGCCGCGGUAAUACGUAGGGUGCAAGCGUUAUCCGGAAUUAUUGGGCGUAAAGAGCUCGUACGCGGUUUGUCGCGUCUGCUGUGAAAACUGGAGGCUCAACCUCCAGCCUGCAGUGGGUACGGGCAGACUAGAGUGCGGUAGGGGAGAUUGGAAUUCCUGGUGUAGCGGUGGAAUGCGCAGAUAUCAGGAGGAACACCGAUGGCGAAGGCAGAUCUCUGGGCCGUAACUGACGCUGAGGAGCGAAAGCGUGGGGAGCGAACAGGAUUAGAUACCCUGGUAGUCCACGCCGUAAACGUUGGGAACUAGAUGUGGGGGCCAUUCCACGGCUUCCGUGUCGCAGCUAACGCAUUAAGUUCCCCGCCUGGGGAGUACGGCCGCAAGGCUAAAACUCAAAGGAAUUGACGGGGGCCCGCACAAGCGGCGGAGCAUGCGGAUUAAUUCGAUGCAACGCGAAGAACCUUACCAAGGCUUGACAUAUACGAGAACGCUGCAGAAAUGUAGAACUCUUUGGACACU
rnacentral:rRNA from 1 species